AUGUCAACAUACACAACUAUCCAGUUACCGCGUUGGGAUGGUGGCAAGCUGAAAGUUCGCUUCAUAUACUUGUCAAAUAGAAGCUCUUUCAAAGUGACGAGCUGUCCUAUCGAGGGACCAAUGGUUCCUCUCUUUUUAGGGGCUGAUCUCUUCUCAAACACUGAUAUCCGCACAGAGAACCAUCCCAGAUAUCAUGCAAAGUUUGCAAAGAAAGGAUUGGCAACUAAACUACAUUUCUCCUCAGCUUUUAGAUUCCAUGGACUGAGGGUACCCACUGCCAACAAUUGCAUGUGGUUCUACAGCAUCCAAGGUGUUUUUCGAGUGGCCUUUGAAAUGUAUAGUAAACAAGAGCAGCUCUCCGUGUUGGAGAACUUUCAGGAGGUAUGGAAGUCCCGCCUAAAUGACUUCCCACUAAAGAUGAGCUACAACCUGAGUGUCCAGCUGGAUCCUCCACCACCCCAGAUCGUUGUGGAGAUGUAUGACCAAGACCUAAAGCUCAAACUGAUGUCCCAGAAUCCCCAAGGUUACCCAUCUCAAUCUGUGGAAAUCCCAGAGGCAGACACUGGCCCUUCAGGUGACACUUCAGCAGACCACGAUUACUGCUUUCUGCCAAAUGAGAGUAUGCCAGCACAGCCAGUCCAUCUAUGUCCCUCCAUCUUAAGUCAAAAACUGCAGGGCUUGGAGGAAAAGCUGAGCUCUGAGAAACAGCUGGGGACCGACCAGCAGGAGACCAUACUGCUUCUGUUGGAGACCAUUGAGCGCUGUGUGAGCAGGCCCCUAGAGGAGAGGGAUGUGGCGGACAUUGUACUAGCUCUGCUAGAGGCUCGGAAGUGGGGCUCUGUGUACUCCAGUCACCUGCUUCACUCCAUAGGCUGCUGGCUUGGCCAGCAGUUCCAUGGAGCCAACAGUAGUAUCAGCCAUCAGGUAGAGGGCUUCAAGGUGCGGCACAUAGAGCGAAUCACAGAUCUGCCACCUGCAGAGGAACUGGCCUCAGAGCUUUUUCCAGAGGCCAUGCGAACACUGCUGCUCCACUGGAUGGGUCUGAGUGAUGACUCAACCCUGUGGAAGAGACAGAGCGAGUACCCCAUCCUGCUCCUAAUCCUGGAGUUUGCCAACCACAACCUCAUCACUGGUGUUGCACAUGUGCUUUACUCAAGUCUUAAGGUGAAUUUAGAUCUAGCCAACUCAAAAGAGUUAAGUACUGAAGAAAGUAAAACUACUGUUGUAAAAAAACUACUCAAGUAAAAAGUAGUAUAUUUAAAAAGUACUUAGAGUAAAAGUAAAUGAGUACUUUUAAAAUAAAAACAUUGAACUAAUUAAUAAUUUGCUUUUUUUUCUACCCGAAUGUUGUUACCAUAGAGAUCAUGUUGAAUUUCUAUUAUUAGUAUUCUAGUUCCUAAUUUGUUACACAAGAUCUUUUCCAUGCAAUUACUUUAAAAGAGGAAUUGAAUGUAAAAUAUCAUUAGAAAUGAGGAGUUGUUUUUGGUGUAACAUUAUAGGCCUACUAUGCUAUGCUAUGGUAUGUAUUAUAGUUGGUUCUGUUAUGUAAAAUGCAAAUUAUCAAUGUGAUCUUGCAAGACAUUGAUUCAGCUUUGAUCUAACUUUACUAAAUGAGCACCAUUGUGAGAAGUGAUCUUCUAUUUGUAGUAGUAGUAAUAAUAAUAAUGUGAGUAUGACCAUUAGGCAUAGGUAAUAGAUCUUGAUGAGAUGUAAUUGUAAGCAAUUGGAGCACCCUUCAUGGUGUUGAAAGGACAGUGGCAGGAUCGGACUGUUGGGGCAAAAAUGGUUUUGUUAGUCUAAUGAUAUGUAAAUGCUUAAGUUGAAUAGUACUUUACACUGGUAAUUUUCCCUGCAAUUGCUUCAAUAAACUCUUAUUGCUGAU
rnacentral:lncRNA from 1 species